rnacentral:rRNA from 1 species
GACGAACGCUGGCGGCGUGCCUAACACAUGCAAGUCGAACGAGUCCACCCUUCGGGGUGAGGCGAGUGGCGGACGGGUGAGUAACACGUGAGCAACCUGUCUCUGUGUGGGGGAUAACCCGGGGAAACCCGGGCUAAUACCGCAUGGGCGGAGACUUCGAGUGGAGACUCCGGGAAAGUUGGCCUCUUUGCAAUGCUGACGCGCAGGGAGGGGCUCGCGGGCUAUCAGCUAGCUGGUGAGGUUACGGCUCACCAGGGCGACGACGGCUAGGGGGGUCUGAGAGGACGACCCCCACAUUGGAACUGAGACACGGUCCAGACUCCUACGGGAGGCAGCAGUGGGGAAUUUUGGGCAAUGGCCGCAAGGCUGACCCAGCGACGCCGCGUGCGGGAGGACGCCUCGGGUG